rnacentral:rRNA from 1 species
AAACCAACAGGGAUUGCCUCAGUAGCGGCGAGUGAAGCGGCAAAAGCUCAAAUUUGAAAUCUGGCGUCUUUGGCGUCCGAGUUGUAAUUUGAAGAAGGUAUCUUUGGGCCCGGCUCUUGUCUAUGUUCCUUGGAACAGGACGUCACAGAGGGUGAGAAUCCCGUGCGAUGAGAUGGCCCGGGUCUAUGUAAAGUUCCUUCGACGAGUCGAGUUGUUUGGGAAUGCAGCUCUAAGUGGGUGGUAAAUUCCAUCUAAAGCUAAAUAUUGGCGAGAGACCGAUAGCGAACAAGUACAGUGAUGGAAAGAUGAAAAGAACUUUGAAAAGAGAGUGAAAAAGUACGUGAAAUUGUUGAAAGGGAAGGGCUUGAGAUCAGACUUGGUAUUUUGCAAGUUACUCUUUCGGGGGUGGCCUCUGCGGUUUACCGGGCCAGCAUCGGUUUGGAGCGGUAGGAUAAUGGCGGGGGAAUGUGGCACGACUUUGGUUGUGUGUUAUAGCCUCUGACGAUACUGCCAGCCUAGACCGAGGACUGCGGUUUUUACCUAGGAUGUUGGCAUAAUGAUCUUAAGUCGC